rnacentral:rRNA from 1 species
CAGGGGCGUAGCAAUACGCUCGCUGGCGACCGGCAAACGGGUGCGGAACACGUACACAACCUUCCUUUAAGUGGGGGAUAGCCCGGGGAAACCCGGAUUAAUACCCCGUAACAUAGUGAAGUGGCAUCACUUUACUAUUAAAGCUCCGGCGCUUAAUGAUGGGUGUGCGGCUGAUUAGGCAGAUGGCGGGGUAACGGCCCACCAAACCUACGAUCAGUAACUGGUGUGAGAGCACGACCAGUCACACGGGCACUGAGACACGGGCCCGACUCCUACGGGAGGCAGCAGUAAGGAAUAUUGGUCAAUGGACGCAAGUCUGAACCAGCCAUGCCGCGUGGAGGAUGAAGGUCCUCUGGAUUGUAAACUUCUUUUAUCUGGGAAGAAAUCCAUCUUUUCUUGGAUGGUUGACGGUACCAGAUGAAUAAGCACCGGCUAACUCCGUGCCAGCAGCCGCGGUAAUACGGAGGGUGCAAGCGUUAUCCGGAUUCACUGGGUUUAAAGGGUGCGUAGGUGGAUUAGUAAGUCAGUGGUGAAAUCUCUGGGCUUAACUCAGAAACUGCCAUUGAUACUAUUAAUCUUGAAUACCGUGGAGGUCAGCGGAAUAUGUCAUGUAGCGGUGAAAUGCUUAGAUAUGACAUAGAACACCAAUUGCGAAGGCAGCUGGCUACACGAAUAUUGACACUGAGGCACGAAAGCGUGGGGAUCAAACAGGAUUAGAUACCCUGGUAGUCCACGCCCUAAACGAUGGAUACUCGACAUUUGCGAUACACUGCAAGUGUCUGAGCGAAAGCAUUAAGUAU